AUUGAACGCUGGCGGCAUGCUUUACACAUGCAAGUCGAACGGUAACAGGCCGCAAGGUGCUGACGAGUGGCGAACGGGUGAGUAAUGCAUCGGAACGCGCCCAGUCGUGGGGGAUAACGCAGCGAAAGCUGUGCUAAUACCGCAUACGAUCUGUGGAUGAAAGCGGGGGACCGAAAGGCCUCGCGCGAUUGGAGCGGCCGAUGUCAGAUUAGGUAGUUGGUGGGGUAAAGGCUCACCAAGCCGACGAUCUGUAGCUGGUCUGAGAGGACGACCAGCCACACUGGGACUGAGACACGGCCCAGACUCCUACGGGAGGCAGCAGUGGGGAAUUUUGGACAAUGGGCGCAAGCCUGAUCCAGCCAUUCCGCGUGCAGGAUGAAGGCCCUCGGGUUGUAAACUGCUUUUGUACGGAACGAAAAGGCCUUUUCUAAUACAGAGGGCUCAUGACGGUACCGUAAGAAUAAGCACCGGCUAACUACGUGCCAGCCGCCGCCGUAAUAC
rnacentral:rRNA from 1 species